rnacentral:rRNA from 1 species
CAAUAGCGUAUAUUAAAGUUGUUGCAGUUAAAAAGCUCGUAGUUGGACUUGUGGUGGUUCCUGUGGUCCGAUUUCGGUACUUUUGGGAACCGCCAUCCUUGGGUGGAUCCUGUGUGGCAUUAGGUUGUCGUGCAGGGGAUGCCCAUCGUUUACUGUGAAAAAAUUAGAGUGCUCAAAGCAGGCUUUCGCCUGAAUGUAUCAGCAUGGAAUAAUUUUGUAGGACUUCGGUUCUAUUUUGUUGGUUUCUAGAGCUGAAGUAAUGGUUAAUAGGAAUAGUUGGGGGCAUUCGUAUUUAACUGUCAGAGGUGAAAUUCUUGGAUUUGUUAAAGACGAACUACUGCGAAAGCAUUUGCCAAGGAUGUUUNCAUUGA